AGUUUUUCCUUCUGUAUCCGGUAAGUGGCGUUCGUGCGAGAUGAGGUGCUGUGCUCGCAUGAACGUGAGUGGUCGGUGUGGGUUAUUGAACCGACCACGCUGCCUCUGGGGUCACACUCUGACAUGGCGUCCUCAUGGAGUGAGAGAGUGUUACCGCGUUGGAGCGCAAGGUGAGUGUGGGAGUGAGGUCCUGAUAAAGAUAUCUACACAGAUGUAUUCUGCAUAUAUUCAUAGUUG